rnacentral:lncRNA from 1 species
UGAUCGGAUCCUACUAGAUGGUCUGAUUCUGUCGAAUCCUCUACCGCCUAUUGGAGUACUUCUCACUGCUCCACUAGUCGCAGAGGGCCUCCCAUACGUCCGCCCGCAUCCAAUGAUCCCUAUAGGAUCUCAAGUCCGAUGGUGAUUAAAAAUCAGAAUGCUCGAUGGCGGACUAUCUGAGGCUAUAGAGGCCAUCUUGGAGCCUCCAUGUGGCCAUCUCAUCGA